UGAAAGGCAAAAUGGCAGCGUCCAUACCAGGCGUUGGAAGGAUUUUAUGCCCUUCCAAAGAGGUUACCUGUCAGGCGUUGGACCCAGGCUGUGUUUCCAAGUGUGAAGUCCAGCCUCUCUCUGUGCACUGCAGCCUAACCUGAAAUCCCCAGUGACGCUGCUGUGGCAAGGACAGACCACGGGGCUACCUGGAGAGCAAAGAGUACAUAGAGCGCUAUGGACAAGUCCAGUGUGGUCUGACUAAAGAGGAACCAGAAAGGAGGGAUUCUCCCUCAGAAGACACGCAAGACUUGCAUUAGGAGACAGGAUAUGUGGGAACCCUUGUCCAAUUUGUUGAGACACCAUCAUCCACUAUCAGAAUGUGAAGCUGCUGCAACAGUUUAUAAGCCCGAAUACAGGCGUUGUGUAUGACCCCACACGGACAGGUUAGAUGGUUUCUAUUUAUGUCAUGUGUAUACAAUUCUAUGAAUGAAUCUGAAUCAACAAUGCUGAAUUCAGUAGGUGUUAUCUAAAUGCUUGCUGGUUUCAUCGAAAUAAGUUGUCUUUGAUUUGAUGAAUGAUGAGUUGACACAGCCAGGAAUCUGAGAGGCUGCCAAUAGGUGUUUAAGUGAUGAAAACAGUCCUGCAUAAAGUAACAUCUGGUUCAAAACCAACACUUUUUACGAGCAAGUUUUAAAGAUGCACUAUGCAGAAAUCGCUCUGACAUUUCCUGGUUGCUAAAAUUCUAAUAGUUUGUCUAAUUUCAG